AGGGAACAGCUGCUGAGAACACAUCUAAGGAGCCACCCAGAGUCUGACUGAGGGGUUCAGCAGGGCAGGUUGGGAGGGAAUGGUACCCUGUGUCCACAGUCCUUUCUCUCUGUGUGGAAGCCAGAAGAACCCAGCUGUGUGCUCACACAAUCUUGUUUUAUUCAUAUUUGGGUUGCUUUCUUUGAAUUUUGGUUAUCAAGAUUCUCCAAUUUUAUUUUUUUAGUUGUCAUCAGGCCUUUAUUCAUUUCUGUGCAGUGCUGAGAAUUGAACCCAGUGCCUCCCACAUGCUAGGCAAUCACUCUGCAACUGAGCCUCAACCCCAGCUCUCCAGUUUUUGACUGUCUUCAUUGCUUAGCUGUUCUGAAGACAAUACUAGGCCUCCUACUGUUCCUACAGUAUAAGAUAUGUUACCUUUCACCAGUCCAAUCCAACACAGACACCUGCAGACCCAGAGAUCCCCUCAGCAUUCACUCUUGGGAGGUUCCAGUUGUCAUGGGUCUUGGCUUUCCCUGGAUGGAAGGGCACCUGACAGAGGUAGUUGUGUGUUUUCAAGCUUAA
rnacentral:lncRNA from 1 species